UAGAACCAAACAACCUGGGCAGCCCCAGUGCCGCAGCGGUCUAGCACUGCCUGCAGCCCGGGGCGUGAUCCUGGGACCUGGGAUCGAGUCCCACGUCAGGCUUCCUGCAUGGAGCCUGCUUCUCUCUCUGCCUGUGUCUCUGCCUCUCUCUCUCUCUCUGUCUCUAUGAAUAAAUAAAAUCUUUGAAGAAAAAAAAAAAAGGAACCAAACAACCUGUCCAAAAGAGGAUAGUCUCUCCAAAAGGGCAGAGAGAAUGGACUUGUACCUUCCAGGGUCAAUGCCAUGUGAUGGGGUAAUGACUGAUUAAAACGAGAAGGUAUUCAGGGGAGCUCAGAGAUGGUCACCAGGAUGAAAAAAUCACUGUGCGGCAUGAGGGAGCUGGAGGAGCAUGGAUUUUCUGCAUCAUCCUACAAAACCAGUUCAGCAUAAGAUUUCGGAGUUCAAUGUAGCCGUCACCACUGAUGUCAGAAUAGGUCAGACACGGUGGCUCAUCAAAGAAUGUCAUGGAAUAGAGCAGCAGGAAUUAGGAAAGCAUCGGAUCGAAGAACAUUGUGGCUAAAGCAGACUGUCCUUACAAUGGCACCCUCUAUGUGGUGUGAUGGCACACCGGUGCAAGGGGUUGUCCUCAUCAUCAUCAUCAGGGGAUUACAGAGCUUUAAGGAAACACGAAAGAUCAAGCUCCUUGUGAGACACAAGAAGAUCCAUGGUCCAGCCUCUCUCAGGAUGAUGCAGUAAUAUUCCAUAAGCGGCAGGUGUUACUGGCAAGCCAACCUGGUAUUUGCACACAGCAGAAAAAGAAGACAUGAGAAAGUCUACUUUUUCUUCUCAGGCUAGAACCAUCAGCAAUUUGUCCAAGGAAACUCUGCUCACUUUCCUUCUAAUGACUCACUCUUUGCAUAUACAUGCCAAAUUUUCUGUCUACUCCUGAUCUCCCAGGGUUUCUUGGGCACUUGGCUAUCCCUAAGAAACAUCUGAAGCUUGACAAAUCUUAACUAAACAAAAGUCUUUGAGAUUGGCCUGCAAAUACUCAUGUCCAACUUCUCCAACUUUACCUUACACCUGUACCACAAUACCCAAGAUGAAAUCUUGUAAGUCAUUUUGAUUUUUUACUUCAGAUAAAAUACUCCCAAGACUUUGCACUUAAAAAAAUUUCACGUAUAUCCUUCAUUCUUUAUCUGUCAAAUCCAAUCCAUAAAACUUUAACAGCGAUGAGAAGAGACAGAAGAGAGGUACCUACCUGACCUGUGCAUCACUGCUGGCUGGAUCCUUAUUCUCAUGGAGGCCUCCUCUCUCUCUCCCAUUCACUCACCAAGAAGGCUGUCCAUCCCUGUUCAAUCCCAUCUACCCAGAAUUCUCAGCCUUUUCACUUCCAUAAGACUGUUGCUGACAAAUACAGCUCUCAGGUAUGUGCCACUCACUCAACCUCCUCCAUCUUUAUCAGACAGGCUUGGGAGAUAAAGGAAACAGGCACAGGCCUGGCCACAGCUAGCAGAUCAAAGAGGCAUGGGGUGACCAAGCAACUGACCAGCUUCCAAGUCAUUUAGAAGUUUCCUCUCAAGAACUAUGAGGUCAGAGAGUAGCAGGAAAGUGGAAAAAGACUCCCCAUCCAAGAAGAGGGAUCUGGGUACAUGCAGGAGCGCCAUGAUAAAAAGCCCAGCUACGGCUUCUGGAGAAGCGGGCUCUGCUAUGUAUGGCUCCAUAGAAUGCUGCUUCCCUUCAAUCAAACCUUCCUCAUCUGACCUAACUUGAAUAGAUUCCAUUUUCAUGCCAAAUGCCCUGACUAGAGCUAUCACCACAGAUCCAACAAGAGACUCACUUAUUAAGAUUAGUCAGGGAAAUGAUAGAUUUUGUCAAGUUACUUUGUCAACUUACAAUUACUAAUUACCCUUGUAGGUAACAGAAGUUUUUUUAAUCGAAAUCAUUUUGGCAGAACCUUUUUCAUGUGAACUAUAGAGUUCUUAUCUUUUUAAACAAAAGAUACAGAGCAUAAAUACAUCUUUUCUUGACAAUCCAGAAGUAAUAUUCUGAGCAUUUGUUUCUAAACAUAGCAGGGUCCUUUGGGGAUACUUGAGGUUACGUGAGAUGCACUCCUACACCCUAACACACUAUAGUUUUCCAAUAUUGUGCUUUCAGCUGACACAUUUUGCUGUUGUGCAGAGCAUGCCUCUAACCUCCACUUUCCCUUAUAGUGAUGAGGACUGUGGAGACUCUGCAACUAAACAGGGUUACUCUCAGCAAACACAUACGCAAUUUUCAUGGUCUUAGGCACAAUUUUUCUGACACUUUAUUUGAUGAGAGACUCUUUCAGCUUGCUUCCCUCAGGAUCCCCCCAGAGUCUGGGUAUACUCUCAGAAUAUCUCAUAAAUCCAUUCAGUGCUUUAACUACUUUUCAAGUAUAUUACUCCUACAUUCACAACUAUGUUAUACACUCUCUUUAAACAUAAACCACAUUUCACACACAACUUAUAUAAUAAAAUGUCAAGUGCCCAGGGGGAACUCAAAAUGGAUUUGCUAAUAAAAUAUCAUAAACCCAUUGGCUUUCCCACUUUUUCUUUAAAGAUGGACUCCUAUACAAAAACAUAAACAAAAUCUGUAAAAAAAAAAUAUAUAUAUAUAAGAAAUAGUUCUUACAAAACAGAGUUUGUGAGACCUGGAAACUACUCAAUGACAUCUUCCUGAAUGUCAAUCAGGCAGACAUGAUUGGAAAGGUUCAUUUUGACCACCAAGCUCUAGUCUUCUCUGUGCUGUAUACACAUGAGCAAACGCAGCAGGACUAGAGGGCUACUGAGUAAGUGGCAUUAGAUGGGAAAUAGCCCAAAACUCGUAAAAGCAAUGCACCAAUCUCCCAAAAACCUGAUGAAAAUGUAUAUUCUCAGGAGCUCUGAGUGCCGCCUAAUAUCCUGGGUUCUAACAGGUCCAGGGAUCACACUCUGAGUAAUAAGGAAGGAUUAAGCAAGGUACUGAUCAUGUUCUGUCUCAGGAACCUGUAAAAUAAUCUUCUCACCUUUACACAUGUAAUCACUGCCUUUUUAAAUUCCCUUUCUUACUUCUAAAAGCUAAAGACCAUUUGUUUCUCUUUCAACACACACAAAUUAAAUUAGAAUAUAGGCACUGGCAGGACAGGGAUGCUAUUUUCUUCACUGAUGUUUCCCUAGGGCCUGACCAACUCGCCUAGCACAUAGAAGGUGCUCAAAAACACACCUGGGUGGCUCAGAGGUUGAGUAUCUGCCUUUGGCUCAUGAUCCGGGGUCCUGGGAUCGAGUCCUGUAUCAGGCUCCCCACAGGGAGCUUGCUUCUCCCUCUGCCCAGA